AGAAGAAUAAACGAGAAAUGGAGGCGGAAUAGGAGAAGGAGCUAAGGUGGAAUAUUUAGAUGUUUAUCGGGUUCCUGAAGAUGCGUCGAGGUGUUAUCAUCCACGCAAGCUUCCCCAACCCAGCCAGUGUACCACAGGACGGGAGGAUGAAGCCAGCGGCUGCAUGCACCAUUGAACAGGACGGCAUUGUAUUCCUCCCACAGGAGUGACUACAGCGAAGCAAGCCCAGAAUAAAGUGUUGAGUGACCGUGAUGAUUCAAUACUGCUAACACCAAAGAAGUGAGGGAAGUGUUUGGAGUGAACGUGCAAGACAUACAACAGACACCAGACUGCUGCUGCUGCUGCUGCUGCUGCUGCCGGUGUAGCCAAAGGAACAAAAGGUCCGGAGCAGGAGGAAAAGAGGGUGAUUCUUGGAAACGUAGCAAUGAAGUUGUGAAGAUGUCUCGGGUGUGUUGCCUAGUGCGUUCCCUUGUCCCGCUCGAGAGAGAGAGAGAGAGAGACUCGGAUCACCACCGCGUCGAGCUGCCUGCCCACCUCCCUCCAUUGUCCUUCGCCCCUCACUUGAGUAUUGUGAACGUUGUAUUUAUUUUCAUCACGCCUCUGUGUUUGUAAAGGGAGAGUGUUCCAAUAAGUGAGCUCUGUUUGCAGUCACAUGUGUAUUUCAAAGGUGUUUUGCCAAGUGCUGUGCUGAGGUGUUGUGGUGUAUCUGUCUGUACGGUGUUCGAGCUAGCUUUCGCCCACGUUUGUGACGCUACCUUCUGUACUGCAUUUAAUGUCUGUGGAUUUCCCUGAUAAACCUUAAAAGUGUGGUUAUGUUGGUUCAGUGUACAUUUCCCUCGUGUAACGGAGUGGUAAGUCAACCUCCCUCCACGUACAACAGUGUCGGGAAUCAUUUCCCCCGUGUCACGGUGUCAUGGGAUAUUUUCUCAUGUUUGUUUGCUUGUGGGGUAAUGGUACGUGUAGUGUGGCAUACUGGUGAGUGAAGCUGCAUAACUCUCUACUCUCCAUCGUGGAUCUAUUUCCCCAUGAUUAUUACUCUUGUAUGGGUUAUCAUUGGUGAUUAUGGUGCUUGUUAGUGAAGCUAUCUUUGCUUAAUAUAUGUACUAUUUUUGA
rnacentral:lncRNA from 1 species